UCGCCCCACCAAAAGUUUCACUUUACCCGUCCGCCGGAACAAACGCAUAAUUUCGGGUCAGGGGUGGAAGUGGCGUUAUACGAAAAGUUUCCCGGGGGAAUAAAGGGGCUGGAAGGUGCAGCUGGCCCACCGUGCAACAUUCCACCAGCAAUAAUUCCCGUUUCACCCGAUUAUUCGCGAGGUGUUUACGAGGUAACCGAACCGAGCUGCCACGCGCGCGCAAUAAUGAAACGGGAAAGGAAUUUCUUCUUCUCUCUCUUUUUCUCUCUCUCUCUACGACUGUUCGUUACAUUCAUUUACACCAGGGUGCACUAGUAAGUUGUAAGUUCUUUUUUUCGCCGAUAGAGGCACGAGCUCGCGAAGAAAGGGAUCGAGGAGGGGGUAGAAGACCGGUCACGUGUCACUCUGAGCGACAGCCAUAACAAAUUGCCAAUCUCGAGGCGUGAAUUCGAUGCGUUUCAUUCUACUUUUCACGAGAUUGUUUCAAUAUUUUGGAGAUUCAGAAUAUGUGAAUUAUCAGGGCGAUUAGAAGAUAUGGAAGUGGCUUUGAGUGGCUUUUUAGAAGAAACUAAAUUGUGAGAGAUUUUUUUCUCGAAACUUCGAAUUGAAUGUAUUGAUAAAGUUAAAAGAUUGAGGGGAACGUUAUGUUAAUUAAGGAAGAAGUUAUCGGUUAAGUCGAGCUGUCCUCCAACUCGUUCCUCAGGAGGGUAAGAAUGGAAUUGAAUCAGGAACAUGGUAGAGAGGAAAUCACAGAGGAGCAAGGUAAACGGUCGCAAGAACCUGGGAAGAAUUUAAUCGAGAAGGCUGUAAUGAAUACGGCGUGCUGCCGAUGCAGAAUUUAAGAGGUAAUUAAGUAAGAGCUAUGGAGAAGGAAGAGGCUGCGAAAGCGAUAGGAAUGUUGUCGAUAUCGAUGACUAAAGGAACUAUUUAUUGCAAUACAUCGUAGGGGCUUGUAAUGGAGAUUUCGGUUCAUCUUACAAUUAAUUAAUAAAAUACUACUUCUAAUAUGAUAUACCAUGCGAUAUAACAUUUUAAUUACUAUCGCGUAACAAAUUA